rnacentral:rRNA from 1 species
GUGCCAGCAGCCGCGGUAACACGUACUGUGCGAACGUUAUUCGGAAUCACUGGGCUUAAAGGGUGCGUAGGCGGCAAUUCAAGUCAGGUGUGAAAUGCCUGAGCUCAACUGAGGCAUUGCGCUUGAAACUGAACUGCUUGAGUAUCCCAGGGGUGUGCGGAACUGCCAGUGGAGCGGUGAAAUGUGUUGAUAUUGGCAGGAACACCGGAGGCGAAAGCGGCACACUGGGGGAUAACUGACGCUGAGGCACGAAAGCCAGGGGAGCGAACGGGAUUAGAAACCCUUGUAGUCC